rnacentral:rRNA from 1 species
UACGAAGGAUCCAAGCGUUAUCCGGAUUUAUUGGGUUUAAAGGGUGCGUAGGUGGAUUGAUAAGUCAGUGGUGAAAGCCUCCCGCUUAACGGGAGAAUUGCCGUUGAUACUGUCAGUCUUGAGUACAUUUGAGGUGGGCGGAAUGUGUCAUGUAGCGGUGAAAUGCUUAGAUAUGACACAGAACACCGAUUGCGAAGGCAGCUCACUAAACUGUAACUGACACUGAGGCACGAAAGCGUGGGUAGCAAACAGG